rnacentral:lncRNA from 1 species
GACAUUGACGUCAAUACAUAGCACCUAACUUUAUUAUCAUCGUCCAAUCAUUUCUCAUAAGAUGCUUUCUGAUCAACGAUUGGAUGGAUUGGGAGAGGAGAAAGGUCCUGAUCAAGGAUAUAAACUAAUUUUUUGGAACUCAAAAUGAUUUUCAAGUAUUGGAACCAAUCUUUAAAAUUUGAUCCGAUCAAUCUAUUGAUUUCUAAGAUACGGGUUAGG